rnacentral:rRNA from 1 species
GACGAACGCUGGCGGCGUGCCUAAUACAUGCAAGUUGAACGCUGAAGGAGGAGCUUGCUCUUCUGGAUGAGUUGCGAACGGGUGAGUAACGCGUAGGUAACCUGCCUGGUAGCGGGGGAUAACUAUUGGAAACGAUAGCUAAUACCGCAUAACAGUAGAUGUUGCAUGACAUUUACUUAAAAGGUGCAAUUGCAUCACUACCAGAUGGACCUGCGUUGUAUUAGCUAGUUGGUGGGGUAACGGCUCACCAAGGCGACGAUACAUAGCCGACCUGAGAGGGUGAUCGGCCACACUGGGACUGAGACACGGCCCAGACUCCUACGGGAGGCAGCAGUAGGGAAUCUUCGGCAAUGGACGGAAGUCUGACCGAGCAACGCCGCGUGAGUGAAGAAGGUUUUCGGAUCGUAAAGCUCUGUUGUAAGAGAAGAACGAGUGUGAGAGUGGAAAGUUCACACUGUGACGGUAUCUUACCAGAAAGGGACGGCUAACUACGUG